CACCAACAGCUCUUCUACUUCCCAGGUUUCAUGCCACAGAGGGAAGCUGGUGUGAAUUGGGCAUUAGGACCAUGUUCUAACAGCCCCCAGAAGCACCAUUAGACCACAUCCAUUCCUGCUUUGAUGCCACAGCAUGCUGUUCAGUGAAAUCCAAGCACUAGGACUACCCUGACCACUUCAGAGCAGGUGCUGAAUGCAUUACUUGGCUUCAAGGACCAUACCUGUGUCAUUUUGGAUCAUCAGAUCAAACUUCAGACCUGUCUUGCCACUGUGAUGGAGCUGUAGGCUGUACUGUCACUUCAAAGGGAAGGUGUCUUGGUUUUUAUUUAUUUAUUUUUUUGUGGGUGUGUGUAAAGGCCUAAAGUUAACAGGGCUGGGGGA